rnacentral:rRNA from 1 species
UACGUAGGGGGCAAGCGUUGUCCGGAAUUAUUGGGCGUAAAGGGCGCGUAGGCGGCCAUGCGUGUCUUCCGUGAAAUCCCUCGGCUUAACUGAGGACGUGCGGAAGAAACUGCAAUGCUCGAGUCCGGGAGAGGGGGGUGGAAUUCCCAGUGUAGCGGUGAAAUGCGUAGAUAUUGGGAGGAACACCGGUGGCGAAGGCGGCCCCCUGGACCGGUACUGACGCUGAGGCGCGAAAGCGUGGGUAGCAAACGGG